rnacentral:rRNA from 1 species
GAUGAACGCUGGCGGCGUGCCUAAUACAUGCAAGUCGAGCGAACGGACGAGAAGCUUGCUUCUCUGAUGUUAGCGGCGGACGGGUGAGUAACACGUGGAUAACCUACCUAUAAGACUGGGAUAACUUCGGGAAACCGGAGCUAAUACCGGAUAAUAUUUUGAACCGCAUGGUUCAAAAGUAAAAGACGGUCUUGCUGUCACUUAUAGAUGGAUCCGCGCUGCAUUAGCUAGUUGGUAAGGUAACGGCUUACCAAGGCAACGAUGCAUAGCCGACCUGAGAGGGUGAUCGGCCACACUGGAACUGAGACACGGUCCAGACUCCUACGGGAGGCAGCAGUAGGGAAUCUUCCGCAAUGGGCGAAAGCCUGACGGAGCAACGCCGCGUGAGUGAUGAAGGUCUUCGGAUCGUAAAACUCUGUUAUUAGGGAAGAAUAUAUGUGUAAGUAACUGUGCACAUCUUGACGGUACCUAAUCAGAAAGCCACGGCUAACUACGUGCCAGCAGCCGCGGUAAUACGUAGGUGGCAAGCGUUAUCCGGAAUUAUUGGGCGUNAAGCGCGCGUAGCGGUUUUUUAAGUCUGAUGUGAAAGCCCACGGCUCAUCCGUGGAGGGUCAUUGGAAACUGGAAAACUUGAGUGCAGAAGAGGAAAGUGGAAUUCCAUGUGUAGCGGUGAAGUGCGCAGAGAUAUGGAGGAACACCAGUGGCGAAGGCGACUUUCUGGUCUGUAACUGACGCUGAUGUGCGAAAGCGUGGGGAUCAAACAGGAUUAGAUACCCUGGUAGUCCACGCCGUAAACGAUGAGUGCUAAGUGUUAGGGGGUUUCCGCCCCUUAGUGCUGCAGCUAACGCAUUAAGCACUCCGCCUGGGGAGUACGACCGCAAGGUUGAAGCUCAAAGGAAUUGACGGGGACCCGCACAAGCGGUGGAGCAUGUGGUUUAAUUCGAAGCAACGCGAAGAACCUUACCAAAUCUUGACAUCCUUUGACAACUCUAGAGAUAGAGCCUUCCCCUUCGGGGGACAAAGUGACAGGUGGUGCAUGGUUGUCGUCAGCUCGUGUCGUGAGAUGUUGGGUUAAGUCCCGCAACGAGCGCAACCCUUAAGCUUAGUUGCCAUCAUUAAGUUGGGCACUCUAAGUUGACUGCCGGUGACAAACCGGAGGAAGGUGGGGAUGGCGUCAAAUCAUCAUGCCCCUUAUGAUUUGGGCUACACACGUGCUACAAUGGACAAUACAAAGGGCAGCGAAACCGCGAGGUCAAGCAAAUCCCAUAAAGUUGUUCUCAGUUCGGAUUGUAGUCUGCAACUCGACUACAUGAAGCUGGAAUCGCUAGUAAUCGUAGAUCAGCAUGCUACGGUGAAUACGUUCCCGGGUCU